CGGGGUGUAGCUCAGUCUGGUAGAGUACUUGGUUUGGGACCAAGGUGUCGAAGGUUCGAAUCCUUUCGCCCCGACCA
rnacentral:tRNA from 2 species